GUUGGUUUUAUUUUGCUGUUGGUGGUGGUUUUUCCUUUGGUGUUUUGUUUUAUUUUGUUUUGGGUUUAGGUCAGAAAAUGGUUCAUUGGCUUGAUAGUUCAGGUGACAUUUUCCCUUUCUCUCCUCUUAGGCUGACAAUUGCAUUUUUUGCACUCUCUGGGCUGGAUAUGUUGGACUCCUUGGAUGUGGUGAACAAAGACGAUAUAAUAGAGUGGAUUUAUUCCUUGCAGGUUCUUCCCACAGAAGACAGGUCAAAUCUGGAUCGCUGUGGUUUCCGAGGUUCUUCAUAUUUGGGUAUUCCAUUCAACCCAUCAAAGAAUCCAGGCACAGCUCAUCCUUAUGACAGUGGACACAUAGCGAUGACUUACACUGGUCUUUCCUGUUUAAUUAUUCUUGGAGAUGAUUUAAGCCGAGUAGAUAAAGAAGCUUGCUUAGCAGGCUUGAGAGCACUUCAGCUGGAAGAUGGGAGCUUCUGUGCUGUUCCUGAAGGCAGUGAGAAUGACAUGAGGUUUGUGUACUGUGCUUCCUGCAUUUGCUAUAUGCUCAACAACUGGUCAGGCAUGGAUAUGAAGAAAGCCAUCAGCUACAUUAGAAGAAGUAUGUCCUAUGACAAUGGCCUGGCACAGGGGGCAGGACUUGAGUCUCAUGGAGGAUCCACCUUUUGUGGCAUUGCGUCACUGUGCCUGAUGGGUAAACUGGAAGAAGUUUUUUCAGAGAAAGAACUGA
rnacentral:lncRNA from 1 species